rnacentral:lncRNA from 1 species
CCAUCACAGCACUGAUUUAUCCUUUUUUGAUCUAAUCCUGAGACUACAAGAAUUUCCAUCAUUUCACUUGGAAAAAAUUCUGAUAGCUGGGCAAAACUGCCUUAGAAAAAGACGAAGAAACUCAGAGAACAAACAGAAAUAUUGGAUGGUGGAUGAGCUGUAAUCUGGAUACAGAUUCCCCUCCAGGCGUUCACCAACAGCAAGGAUCAACAAGAAGCUGAAGCAUCCUGACAGAGGAAGCAUCCACUCCUUGGCACUGCAGUGGGUGUCCCUUCCCUGGUGCUCAGCCCAGGCAGGAUCCUCAGGAGCUGCCCUGGCUCCAAGCAGCACCUUUGUUGUGAGGAGGAAACCUUGCAAAGCUGAAAUGAAAUAUUAAGCCUCAUUCUUUCCAGGAAAAAAGCUGAAAUACCUUGUUGGAAGGAGAAGCUGGGCAAGGGAAA